AAACAGACSAAUUAASGCUUAACGAGCGAGACCUGGGCGUGCUAGCUAGGCGCUGCUACCGCUUUUGGUAGUGAGGUGGCCUUCCUAGACGGACUGCAGGCGUCUAGUCUGUGGAAGCUCCAGGCAACAGGUCUGUG
rnacentral:rRNA from 1 species